GUCUCAGAUUUGUUCUGAGGAGAGUUGGUUUGUCCUGAUGAAGGUGGAGAUUUGCGUGUUCAUCACUCUAAUCUCAGAUCCUGCUCAUCACAGCCACAGGUAUGUAGCUGUGAUCCGCUCAGAAACCACACGGGGGUCUUACACAUGCAGUCAGGCUCUCAGGAUGAGGGGAGACGCACUCAGUAUGAAAAGAAGGAAGAUGAUGCAACUGAUAGCCAGACCACAGAAAGACUGAACUCCAUCACAACAUCCGCCUGUGCUGCAAUCUGCCUGCUACCUUUACUGUUCCACUGCUGCUAUCUGGAAUAAAAUCAAAGGGAUUUAUUAGCGAGUGACACCCACACGCUGACAAGUUAGCGAGCAGCCUGCUCACUAUUUUAAAUUUAUCAUAACUGAAAUCUGCAGCUGGAUGGCAGCAAAUGGAUGUUUUCUUUUCCACUUCCCCAUUUAUCUGUGUCAGAAAGA